rnacentral:rRNA from 1 species
UACGGAGGGUGCGAGCGUUGUCCGGAAUCACUGGGCGUAAAGAGCGUGUAGGCGGCCAGAUAGGUCAGCUGUGAAAACUCGAGGCUCAACCUCGAGACGUCGGUUGAAACCGUCUGGCUAGAGUCCGGAAGAGGAGAGUGGAAUUCCCGGUGUAGCGGUGAAAUGCGUAGAGAUCGGGAGGAACACCAGUGGCGAAGGCGGCUACCUGGACCAGCACUGACACUCAGGCACGAAAGCGUGGGGAGCAAACAGG